rnacentral:lncRNA from 1 species
GGCCUCUGCUUGUGACCCUUCAAAUGAGUCUCUUUUUUGUGGCUCUAACACCUGACUUGUGAAGGGCACCCGACUUGAAGGUGUCCCCUGAACCUCCAUCAACUUGGUUUCAGAUCAGCAUAAUGACCCUGAGGAUGUUUGAGCAUUUGCUACAAAAACCCAAUGAGCACAUCCUGUACAACCUGGUCCUAAGGAAUCUUGAAGAAAGAAACUAUACGGAAUACAAACCUUUAUGCCCAGAAGACAAGGACGUGGUGGAGAACGGGCUGAUAGCGGGAGCUGUAGAUCUGGAGGAAGAUCCAUUAUUUACUGACAUUUCACCAGAUAACACUC